UGUGGAUAUAUGCUCAGAGUAACAUCACAAGCAUCAUAUUCACCUGAGUACAUUACACCAACACAGAAAAAAUCGUGAUUUAUGUGUUGUUGACGCAAAUUAGUAUCAUGUUCUAAUUUUUCACCAAGAUUGUUCCUUUCCUAUUACUGCUCUAAAAUGACAAUGGGAUAUUAUUCUGGCACAGGCAGGCAGUAGCAUAGCUAGGGGGCAAAGGGGGGCUCUGCCCUCCUAACAACCUUAUCAACUGUUCUCGAUUACACACUUAUCAUGCAGUUCGUCUAUGUAUGUUGAAAAAUAAGAACCUCUAAUUAGCAAGGAAGGAAAUUUGUUAGUCGCAUAUCAAGUUAAUCGUUACAUCUUGUACAGUCCGUAUUCUUGCACUUAUCAAUCAAGAUUAAAAAGUGUCCCCAAUAUUAGCAAGAGCUCGACAACUGUCUCUCUGUAGCUUAGUUGGUUUGAGCACUGCACCGGAGUC